UACGGAGGGUGCAAGCGUUAAUCGGAAUUACUGGGCGUAAAGGGCACGCAGGCGGUCUGUCAAGUCAGAGGUGAAAUCCCAGGGCUCAACCCGGGAACUGCAUUCGAAACUGGCAGACUAGAGUCGUGUAGAGGGGGGUAGAAUUCCAGGUGUAGCGGUGAAAUGCGUAGAGAUCUGGAGGAAUACCGGUGGCGAAGGCGGCCUCCUGGACAAAGACUGACGCUCAGGUGCGAAAGCGUGGGGAGCGAACAGG
rnacentral:rRNA from 1 species